UACGAAGGGUGCAAGCGUUACUCGGAAUUACUGGGCGUAAAGCGUGCGUAGGUGGUGAGUUAAGUCUGUCGUGAAAGCCCCGGGCUCAACCUGGGAAUGGCGAUGGAUACUGGCUCGCUAGAGUGCGGUAGAGGAGAGUGGAAUUCCCGGUGUAGCAGUGAAAUGCGUAGAUACCGGGAGGAACACCCGCGGCGAAGGCGGCCCGCUGGGCCAUCCCUGACGCUGAGGCGCGAAGGCCAGGGGAGCGAACGGG
rnacentral:rRNA from 1 species